rnacentral:rRNA from 1 species
GAGUUUGAUCGUGGCUCAGAACGAACGCUGGCGGCGUACUUAACACAUGCAAGUCGGACGAGAAAGGAGACUUCGGUCUCUGAGUACAGUGGCGCACGGGUGCGUGACACGUAAGUAAUCUGCCCCGAACUCUGGGAUAACCCUCCGAAAGGAGGGCUAACACCGGAUAGGGUCCCCGAGGUGUAGGCUGCGGGGGGAAAACGGGCCUCUGUUCCAUGCUCGUGGUUUGGGAUGAGCUUGCGGCCCAUUAGCUUGUUGGUAGGGUAAUGGCUUACCAAGGCGACGAUGGGUAGCUGGUCUGAGAGGAUGAUCAGCCGCACUGGCACUGAGACACGGGCCAGACUCCUACGGGAGGCAGCAGUGGGGAAUUUUGCGCAAUGGGCGAAAGCCUGACGCAGUAACGCCGCGUGGAGGAUGAAGGCCUUCGGUUGUAAC